rnacentral:rRNA from 1 species
AUUGAACGCUGGCGGCAGGCUUAACACAUGCAAGUCGAGCGGGGGAAGGUAGCUUGCUACUGGACCUAGCGGCGGACGGGUGAGUAAUGCUUAGGAAUCUGCCUAUUAGUGGGGGACAACAUCUCGAAAGGGAUGCUAAUACCGCAUACGUCCUACGGGAGAAAGCAGGGGAUCUUCGGACCUUGCGCUAAUAGAUGAGCCUAAGCCGGAUUAGCUAGUUGGUGGGGUAAAGGCCUACCAAGGCGACGAUCUGUAGCGGGUCUGAGAGGAUGAGCCGCCACACUGGGACCGAGACACGGCCCAGACUCCUACGGGAGGCAGCAGUGGGGAAUAUUGGACAAUGGGGGGAACCCUGAUCCAGCCAUGCCGCGUGUGUGAAGAAGGCCUUAUGGUUGUAAAGCACUUUAAGCGAGGAGGAGGCUCUUUUGGUUAAUACCCAAGAUGAGUGGACGUUACUCGCAGAAUAAGCACCGGCUAACUCUGUGCCAGCCGCCGCAGUAA